GGGGAAUUGUUCGCAAUGGGCGCAAGCCUGACGACGCAACGCCGCGUGGAGGACGAAGAUCUUCGGGUCGUAAACUCCUGUCGAGUGGGAAGAAUGGAUCGAGGGUGAAUAAUCCUCGGUAUUGACGGUACCACUAAAGGAAGCCCCGGCUAACUCCGUGCCAGCAGCCGCGGUAAUACGUAGGGGGCAAGCGUUGUCCGGAUUUACUGGGCGUAAAGCGCGUGUAGGCGGCCACGCAGGUCCGUUGUGAAAACUGGAGGCUCAACUUCCAGACGUCGACGGAAACCGUGUGGCUAGAGUCCGGAAGAGGAGAGUGGAAUUCCUGGUGUAGCGGUGAAAUGCGCAGAUAUCAGGAAGAACACCAAUGGCGAAGGCAGCUCUCUGGGACGGUACUGACGCUGAGACGCGAAAGCGUGGGGAGCGAAC
rnacentral:rRNA from 1 species